AAGUUGUUAUUAAAUGUAUAAAAAAAAAGGAGAAAUUUAAAUAAAUUAGUUGGAAGGUGGAUAAGGAAAUCAUUCGGAAGAAGGCAAAUAAAAGGAAAAGAGAGGAACAAAAUACCAAAAACAAAAUCAACAUCAGAUCAUAAAUGGCACACGUGUGGUGGGAUUAAAGUGUUUAAAAAUUGAAUUGAAUGCAGAGGUGUGGGCCCUGGGAUGUUGAGAAGACAGGUAGGAAUGUAGUAGAUGGGCCCAUGCAAUGGACACACGAGGGGGCUUGACAGCCCAUUGGGUUUGGGCCUCUCUCUCGUACCUGCUUCCGCUCCCAGUAACUGCAUAAUCGUUAUCCCAUCAUCGUUCAUGUCAUUUUCUACCUUCUUCUUCGUUGUUGCUGUUCUUCGCACCUUAACUUUUCCACCCUCACAUUAACUCUAUCGGCCCC
rnacentral:lncRNA from 1 species